rnacentral:tRNA from 1 species
UACCUCGUAGCUCAGUUGGUAGAGCAUUGGACUAAUAUAUCCAAAAGGUCGUGGGUUCGAGUCCCACCGUGGUCA